UGUCGACGUCGACCACGGGCUGACCGCCGCCCAGCACGCGGUGCUGUGGCAGAUCCGGUUGCCGCGGGUGGUGCUCGGGGCGCUGGUCGGCGCC
rnacentral:tRNA from 1 species